AUUGGGAAUUGGGAACUGGGAAUGGGGAUGGGAAUUGGGAAUUGGGAAACUGGGAAUGGGGAUGGGGAUGGGAAUUGGGAAUUGGGAACUGGGAAUGGGGAUGGGAAUUGGGAAUUGGGAAACUGGGAAUGGGGAUGGGGAUGGGAAUUGGGAAUUGGGAACUGGGAAUGGGGAUGGGAAUUGGGAAUUGGGAAUUGGGAAUUGGGAAUUGGGAUUGGGAUUGGGAUUGGGAUUGGGAUUGGGCUGGCCAUGGUGGAGGCCAUCGCGUAAGGGAACCAGAAUUGGGAAUUGGGAUUGGGAAACUGGGAAUGGGAAUUGGGAUGGGGAUGGGAAACUGGGAAUGGGGAUGGGAUGGGAAUGGGGUGUGAUGGCUGAUGCUGGAGGUGGGGCUGCGCUGAGGCCGCAUUCCCGGCGGAUUUUCUGCGUUCCCGGCAGAAAUGCCAUUCCCAAAUUCCCCCGUGGCCUUUCCCAUUCCCGGUGCCCAUUCCCGGUGCCCGUGGCCACCCCGCGGCGUUGCCAUGGCACAGCUCUGUGCGGGAGCGGACGCGCACGGCGGUGCCCAUUCCCAUUCCCGUUCCCAUUCCCAUUCCCGUGCCCAUUCCCGGUGCCCAUUCCCGGUGCCCAUUCCCAUUCCCAUGACCGCCCCGCGGCGCGGCCGUGGCGCAGCUCGGUGCGGGAGCGGACGCGCACGGCGGUGCCCAUUCCCAUUCCCAUUCCCAUUCCCAUUCCCAUUCCG
rnacentral:lncRNA from 1 species